rnacentral:misc_RNA from 1 species
GAUGAAGAACGUAGCGAAAUGCGAUAAGUAAUGCGAAUUGCAGAAUUUCCGUGAGUCAUCGAAUCUUUGAACGCACAUUGCGCCCAUUGGCAUUCCGAUGGGCAUGCCUGUUCGAGCGUCAUUAUCCUCCCUCAAACCCCUGGGUUUGGUGUUGGACUGUGUGGUGCCUGGCACCACUGGUCUCAAAGACAAUGAUGGCGUCCGUGGGACCCUCGGUGCAACGAGCUUUUCGAAGCACGCGUCGAGUGGACAGUCUCUCCGGGCCGGUCACCUCUCCAAUUUUUCUCAGGUUGACCUCGGAUCAGGUAGGAAUACCCGCUGAACUUAAGCAUAUCAAUAAGCGGAGGA